rnacentral:rRNA from 1 species
AUUGAACGCUGGCGGCAGGCCUAACACAUGCAAGUCGAACGAGUGGCGGACGGGUGAGUAAUGUCUGGGCAACUGCCUGAUGGAGGGGGAUAACUACUGGAAACGGUAGCUAAUACUGCAUACUAUCGGAUGUGCCCAGAUGGGAUUAGCUAGUAGGUGGGGUAAAGGCUCACCUAGGCGACGAUCCCUAGCUGGUCUGAGAGGAUGAAGAGCCACACUGGAACUGAGACACGGUCCAGACUCCUACGGGAGGCAGCAGUGGGGAAUAUUGCACAAUGGGCGCAAGUCUGAUGCAGCCAUGCUGCGUGUAUGAAGAAGGCCUUCGGGUUGUAAAGUACUUUCAGCUGAGAGGCGUUACCCGCAGAAAAAGCAACGGCUAACUCCGUGCCAGCCGCCGCGGUAAUAC